CCUACGGGUGGCAGCAGUAGGGAAUCUUGCACAAUGGGCGCAAGCCUGAUGGAGCAAUACCGCGUGUGUGAAGAAGGGUUUCGGGUCGUAAAGCACUGUUAUUGGAGAGGAACGUGCGAGAGAGUAUCUGUUCACGAAGUGACGGUAUCCAACCAAGAAGUAACGGCUAACUACGUGCCAGCAGCCGCGGUAAUACGGAGGUGGCAAGCGUUAGCCGGAUUUAUUGGGCGUAAAGCGAGCGCAGGCGGUCGCUUAGGUCUGAUGUGAAAGCCUUGGGCUUAACCGAAGAAGUGCAUCGGAAACCGGGCGACUUGAGUGCAGUAGAGGACAGUGGAACUCCAUGUGUAGCGGUGGAAUGCGUAGAUAUAUGGAAGAAUACCAGUGGCGAAGGCGGCUGCCUGGUCUGCAACUGACGCUGAGGUUCGAAAGCAUGGGUAGCGAACAGGAUUAGAUACCCCAGUAGUC
rnacentral:rRNA from 1 species